GAUGAACGCUGGCGGCGUGCCUAAUACAUGCAAGUCGAGCGAACGGACGAGAAGCUUGCUGCUCUGAAGUUAGCGGCGGCCGGGUGAGUAAUACGCGGUUAAUCUAAAUAUCAGACUGGGAUUAGUUCGGGUAACCGGUGCUAAUACCGGAUAAUAUUUUGGACCGCAUGGUUCCAACGUGCAAGACGGUCUUGCUGUCACUUAUAGAUGGCUCCGCGCUGCAUUAGCUAGUUGGUAGGGUAACGGCUUACCAAGGCAACGAUGCAUAGCCGACCUGAGAGCGUGGUCCACCACACGGUAACUGAGACACGUUCCAGACUCCUACGGUAAGCAGCAGCAGAGAAUCUUCCGCAAUGGGCGAGAGCCGGACGGAGCAACGCCGCCGCAAGGAUGAUGGUCUUCGGAUCGUAAAGCGCUGUUAUUAUGGGAGAACAAAUGUGUAAGUAACUGUGCACAUCUUGACGGUACCUAAGCAAAAAGCCACGGCUAACUACGUG
rnacentral:rRNA from 1 species